GACUAUGUGGUGUAGUGGUUUGAACAUUGGACUGCAACUCUGGAGACCAGGGUUCGAUUCCUGCUCACUCA
rnacentral:tRNA from 1 species